GUGGGGAAUCUUCCGCAAUGGACGAAAGUCUGACGGAGCAACGCCGCGUGAGUGAAGAAGGUUUUCGGAUCGUAAAGCUCUUUCGUUAGGGACGAACGUGCUCUUUGUGAAUAAUGAGGAGUAAUGACGGUACCUAAAUAAGAAGCCACGGCUAACUACGUGCCAGCAGCCGCGGUAAUACGUAGGUGGCAAGAGUUGUCCGGAAUUAUUGGGCGUAAAGCGCGCGCAGGCGGGAUAUCAAGUCUGUCUUAAAAGUGCGAGGCUCAACCUCGUGAGGGGACAGAAACUGGUAUUCUUGAGUGUCGGAGAGGAAAGUGGAAUUCCAAGUGUAGCGGUGAAAUGCGUAGAGAUUUGGAAGAACACCAGUGGCGAAGGCGACUUUCUGGACGAUGUCUGACGCUGAGGCGCGAAAGCUAGGGGAGCGAACGGGAUUAGAAACCCCGGUAGUCC
rnacentral:rRNA from 1 species